UACGUAGGGUGCAAGCGUUAUCCGGAUUUACUGGGUGUAAAGGGCGAGUAGACGGCGUUGCAAGUCAGAUGUGAAAACCUAGGGCUCAACCGUAGGACUGCAUCUGAAACUGUAAUGCUAGAGUGCAGGAGAGGUAAGCGGAAUUCCUAGUGUAGCGGUGAAAUGCGUAGAUAUUAGGAGGAACACCAGUGGCGAAGGCGGCUUACUGGACUGUAACUGACGUUGAGGAGCGAAAGUGUGGGGAGCAAACAGG
rnacentral:rRNA from 1 species